CGCAAGCUUUACCCAAAAACUACAUACAAAAAGCUGCUAAAAGCGAAUGACCUAUAAAACUUUCAGUAUGGAGUCAAAUGACCACUUAUAUGAAAAUACAGAAUUUAUAUUAGCCAAAAGAAAAGAAGCUACUUCUUCGGACGGAAAGCUCGCUGUUAUUGACGAAAGUAGUGAAGAUUCUGAAACUGACGAGACAACGAGAGUUUCUGAAGAUGCUGAAAAAGCAGAGACUACCAAAACACCAAUGAUGGCUCCUUCAGCUCAUUCCGGGACUGAAACUCUAUCUCAAAUCGAAGUAAUCCCAAUAAUCACUCGUUGGAAGAGAGAUGGAAGUGGUAACGUGGUGAAGAAACAGUCGAAGCCCCUGUUGCAGUUUUUGGGAGUGAAAUUUGGAGGAGAGAGCAAGUGGUCUCUAC